rnacentral:rRNA from 1 species
GAAACCCCGGGAUUUAUCUCGGGCUGACGGUACCAAAAGAAUAAGCACCGGCUAAUUCCGUGCCAGCAGCCGCGGUAAUACGGAAGGUGCAAGCGUUAUCCGGAAUCACUGGGUUUAAAGGGUGCGUAGGCGGUUACGUCAGUCAGGAGUGAAAGCUCACAGCUUAACUGUGGAAUUGCUUUUGAUACUGUGUAACUAGAAUCAGGUUGAGGUUGGCGGAAUGUGGCAUGUAGCGGUGAAAUGCUUAGAUAUGCCAUAGAACACCGAUUGCGAAGGCAGCUUACUAGACCUGUAUUGACGCUGAGGCACGAAAGCGUGGGGAGCGAACAGGAUUAGAUACCCUGGUAGUCCACGCCCUAAACGAUGCUUACUCGAUGUGUGAGUUAUUGCGCAUCCAAGGGAAACCGUUAAGUAAGCCACCUGGGGAGUACGUUCGCAAGAAUGAAACUCAAAUGAAUUGACGGGG